rnacentral:lncRNA from 1 species
GGGGUCCAGUAGGGGCGCUGCGUGAUGGGAAAGUCGCUGGCUAAGCCUCACUGUUUCUCCUGAUUUCUUAACUUUUGGGUCCCAAGAGCAGGAAUAAAGCCAUUGUGGCUGGAGCGGAGAGGGGGUGCAGGCUUGCUGCCGCUGCGUGCUGCAGAACUUCCCGCCAGCGCCCAGCUGCCGGCCUUUCAGGCCAAGUGGGGAACAAGCUGGCGGGUGGGCAGGUGGCCCCGGGCCGCGGUGCCCGCGCCUUGGCUCUGUCCCCGUGAACCCAGCGAGCCGCUCCUCACUCGUGGUUUGAGGGCGGUGAUUUGUUUCCUCCCACCCACUUUUGAGUCCCCCUCCCCCCUCGCACGCACUCUAGCUCUCUCCACAACCUGCGAACCCCAGACCUCGGAGGAGAGCCCCGGGGAGCUUGGAGCGCGUGCACGCGUGGCAGACGGAGGAGGCCAGUGCCCAGCUUGUGUACACCAGGUCCUCAAGGUUUUGAGUUGCUUUUUAUAGUGGCCAAAAUGAGAAAAAAGUGGAAGAUGGGAGGCAUGAAGUAUAGCUUUUCCUUGUUGCUGUUUUUUCUUUUCCUAGAAGGAAGCAAAACAGAGCAAGUAAAACGUAAGUGUCCGGAUUAGUUAUUUUUUUUAAGG